AUUGAACGCUGGCGGCGUGCUUAACACAUGCAAGUCGAACGAGAAAGCUUCCUUCGGGGAGCGAGUACAGUGGCGCACGGGUGAGUAACGCGUAGAUAACCUACCCAGGUGUCUGGGAUAACCCUUCGAAAGGGGGACUAAUACCGGAUACGCUUAUCAGCCAUAAGGUUGAUAAGGAAAGGUGGCCAAUCCUUGGAAGCUAUCGCAUCUGGAGGGGUCCGCGUACCAUUAGUUAGUUGGUGGGGUAACGGCCUACCAAGGCAUCGAUGGUUAGCGGGUCUGAGAGGAUGAUCCGCCACACUGGAACUGGAACACGGACCAGACUCCUACGGGAGGCAGCAGUGAGGAAUAUUGCGCAAUGGGGGAAACCCUGACGCAGCGACGCCGCGUGAGUGAGGAAGGCCUUCGGGUCGUAAAACUCUGUCAGAAGGGAAGAAAUGCAUAGAGGUUAAUACCCUUUAUGUUUGACGGUACCUUCAAAGGAAGCACCGGCUAACUCCGUGCCAGCAGCCGCGGUAAUACGGAGGGUGCGAGCGUUAAUCGGAAUCACUGGGCGUAAAGGGCGCGCAGGCGGUUUUAUAAGUCAGAUGUGAAAGCCCACGGCUCAACCGUGGACGUGCAUUUGAAACUGUGAGACUUGAGUACCAGAGGGGGUAGUGGAAUUCCCGGUGUAGAGGUGAAAUUCGUAGAUAUCGGGAGGAAUACCGGUGGCGAAGGCGACUACCUGGCUGAGUACUGACGCUGAGGCGCGAAAGCGUGGGGAGCAAACAGGAUUAGAUACCCUGGUAGUCCACGCCGUAAACGAUGUGAACUAGGUGUUGGGGGUGUCGAUCCCCUCAUUGCCGCAGCUAACGCAUUAAGUUCACCGCCUGGGGAGUACGGUCGCAAGAUUAAAACUCAAAGGAAUUGACGG
rnacentral:rRNA from 1 species